rnacentral:rRNA from 2 species
AAAUUGAAGAGUUUGAUCAUGGCUCAGAUUGAACGCUGGCGGCAGGCCUAACACAUGCAAGUCGAACGGUAACAGGAAGCGCUUGCUGCUUCGCUGACGAGUGGCGGACGGGUGAGUAAUGUCUGGGAAACUGCCUGAUGGAGGGGGAUAACUACUGGAAACGGUAGCUAAUACCGCAUAACGUCGCAAGACCAAAGAGGGGGACCUUCGGGCCUCUUGCCAUCGGAUGUGCCCAGAUGGGAUUAGCUUGUUGGUGGGGUAACGGC